rnacentral:rRNA from 1 species
UACGGAGGGUGCGAGCGUUGUCCGGAAUCAUUGGGCGUAAAGGGCGCGUAGGUGGCCCGGUCAGUCUUUGGUGAAAGCGCGGGGCUCAACCCUGCGUCGGCCAGGGAUACUGCCGCGGCUGGAGCACUGUAGAGGCAGGCGGAAUUCCGGGUGUAGCGGUGGAAUGCGUAGAGAUCCGGAGGAAGACCGGUGGCGAAGGCGGCCUGCUGGGCAGUUACUGACACUGAGGCGCGACAGCGUGGGGAGCAAACAGG